UCUUUGUCCAUCCAGAAUAAUGAUUUUCACAUUUCACAAAUCAUACAUAAGAUUAUCGUAAUUAACUACUGUAUCAACAAUAAUUCCAUUAAAAUUUUUGUAUUUUUGUACAAAAAAUAUAUAAAUUAAAUCGGUGUCAAAAUUGAUAAUUAAUUCCUAAAAUCUACUUUAAUAAUGCAACCCAAGAAAUAAAGUAUAAACUAAGUACGCCAUACUUAAAGACGACCAUGCUAUAGAGGUAGAUGGGCUGCUGUUACUGGAGUGGCGAUUUGGAUUGCCAUUGAUUAGUGGACGCGUCACAGUUCUUGUUCCACCACCGCUGCCUCGACCAAUGCCGCCACCCCUUGCUCCACCGCCUCCACGAGCAACUGCAGAGGUGAGUAGGAGGCAAAUCAUUGAAAGAACAAGAACAUAUUUUAAAGCGUUCUGCAUCUUAUCAAUGUCUAUUAAAAAGCUCCCACGAACUGAAUUUUUUUUUAUUUAUAUGAGAAUUAAAUGAGUGUUGAAACUCCGCCUUCUGCUGGUCUGCCCUUUUCUCUCUGAUUCAUGGAUAAUAUAUACAGCAC
rnacentral:lncRNA from 1 species